UACGUAGGGUGCAAGCGUUAAUCGGAAUUACUGGGCGUAAAGCGUGCGCAGGCGGUUAUGUAAGACAGAUGUGAAAUGCCCGGGCUUAACCUGGGAACUGCAUUUGUGACUGCAUAGCUAGAGUACGGCAGAGGGGGAUGGAAUUCCGCGUGUAGCAGUGAAAUGCGUAGAUAUGCGGAGGAACACCGAUGGCGAAGGCAAUCCCCUGGGCCUGUACUGACGCUCAUGCACGAAAGCGUGGGGAGCAAACAGG
rnacentral:rRNA from 1 species